GUGGGGGCUGAGUAGCAGAUGCACAGUGACCAACCACCACAGGCUUUGAAAGAAGUGACGAGAUGGGUCACUGAUCAUGAUGUGCACCUGAUAUUUACAUAGUGAUUUGGGAACUGAACAACUAGCAGUGGAGUUUGUAUUUUUAUGCAAUUAAAAAACAAACAGAAAAACCAUUGCCAUCAAGUUGAUUCCGACUCCUAGCAACCCUAUAGGCCAGAGUAGAACUGCCCCAUAGGGUUCCCAAGGAGUGGCUGGUGGAUUCAGACUGCUGAUCUUUUGGUUAGCAAUCAAACACUUAACUACUGCAUCACAGGGGCUCCAAAUGGCAUUUAUACAAUCACUCAGAGUUAAUAUACCGUGGUAUCUGACAGGUGAACCUGUAAAUACACUGUGGUAACCGAAGUGUGUGCACACCAGAACUGUGCAAAAUGAGGACUGUCUGAAUGUGCAACAGAGUGAGAUUGAAAGUGAAAGAAGCCAAACACAAAAGACCAUGCACGGUAUGAGUCCAUUCAUAGAAAUUCUAGAAACAACAAAAUUACUGUGAAGAAAUCAGACCAGCAGUUGCCUGGUGUCGGGGGUGGGAUAUGGUAAGACUCAACUGCGAAGAGGCACAGGGAAACUUAGAAGGAUGAUUGCCUAACUCUUCACCGUUACACAACUGUACGUAAUUGCCCAAAUUCAUCACACUCUCCACCUAAGAAGGGUACAUUUUACUAUAUGUAAGUUAUAGUUCAACAAAGCUGGGGGAAUCUAAAUAAUAAAUUUGAGUAUUGUGCUAUUGUUUAUGAAAUGGUUUCUAAAGGAAAAUCAGAUUUGACUUAUAUUGCUUUAAUGUUUGUUGUUUUUGUGUGCCGCUGAGUGGAUUCCGACGAACAGGGACCCUAUAGAACACAGCAGAACUGCCCAUAGAGCUUCCUAGGCUGUAACCUUUACUGGAGCAGAUCGCUAGGUCUGUUCUCCUUUCAGGCACAUGGUCAAAUUGAACUUCCCUGCUCUGUUGGAGUUAGCUGAAAUGCGACUGAAGCAAUGAGUGCCGUGUCUAGGAGGAGGCUUUAAGAACCCACAGGAGAUGCCAACACAGUCUCAAGUGUCCACCUGAUACAAGUAUCUCACUCUUCGUCAGCAUCUCUCUCCAACCCAUUGUCCAGUCCAAUCCAUGUCUGAUGAGUUGUCUUCGGGAAUGGUUCCUGUCCUGGGCCAACAGAAGGUUUGGGGACCAUGACCGCCGGGAUUCCUCUAGUCUCAGUCAGACCAUUAAGUAUGGUCUUUUUAUGAGAAUUUGGGGUCUGCAUCCCACUGAUCUCCUGCUCCCUCAGGGGUUCU